rnacentral:rRNA from 1 species
AUUGAACGCUGGCGGCAGGCCUAACACAUGCAAGUCGAACGGUAACAGGAAGCAGCUUGCUGCUUCGCUGACGAGUGGCGGACGGGUGAGUAAUGUCUGGGAAGCUGCCUGAUGGAGGGGGAUAACUACUGGAAACGGUAGCUAAUACCGCAUAAUGUCGCAGGACCAAAGAGGGGGACCUUCGGGCCUCUUGCCAUCGGAUGUGCCCAGAUGGGAUUAGCUUGUUGGUGGGGUAACGGCUCACCAAGGCGACGAUCCCUAGCUGGUCUGAGAGGAUGACCAGCCACACUGGAACUGAGACACGGUCCAGACUCCUACGGGAGGCAGCAGUGGGGAAUAUUGCACAAUGGGCGCAAGCCUGAUGCAGCCAUGCCGCGUGUAUGAAGAAGGCCUUCGGGUUGUAAAGUACUUUCAGCGGGGAGGAAGGGAGUAAAGUUAAUACCUUUGCUCAUUGACGUUACCCGCAGAAGAAGCACCGGCUAACUCCGUG